UAGGGAAUAUUGGGCAAUGGACGCAAGUCUGACCCAGCCAUGCCGCGUGCAGGAAGAAGGCGUUAUGCGUUGUAAACUGCUUUUAUACAGGAAGAAACGACUCUUGCGAGAGGCAUUGACGGUACUGUAUGAAUAAGCACCGGCUAACUCCGUGCCAGCAGCCGCGGUAAUACGGAGGGUGCAAGCGUUGUCCGGAUUUAUUGGGUUUAAAGGGUGCGCAGGUGGUUUAUUAAGUCAGUGGUGAAAGACGGUCGCUCAACGAUUGCAGUGCCAUUGAAACUGGUAGACUUGAGUAAAGUAGAGGUGGGCGGAAUUGAUAGUGUAGCGGUGAAAUGCAUAGAUAUUAUCAAGAACUCCAAUUGCGUAGGCAGCUCACUUGGCUUUUACUGACACUCAUGCACGAAAGUGUGGGUAUCAAACAGGAUUAGAUACCCUGGUAGUCCACACUGUAAACGAUGAUAACUAGGUGUCGGCCGAAUCUGGUCGGUGCCACAGCGAAAGCGUUAAGUUAUCCACCUGGGGAGUACGCCGGCAACGGUG
rnacentral:rRNA from 1 species